CUUCAUUUUUGUUUGUUGAAUAAAAUUUAUAUCAGAUCUCAUGAAUUUUACAAACUAAUUCAAAUGUCACUAUGAAAUUCAAAAUGAAUAAUACAUAGAUACUCUGAUUUUUCAUUAAUUCAUUGAAUGUAAUUUGUCAUUGACGAGAAUAAAGUAAAGAGAAAAUAAAGAGAAUGAAUGACAUAAAAAUAUAGAAAAGUAUACUUACUUAUAUAAAAGGUGACUUUUGAAAUUUAUAACUUGACACAGAAUUCUUGCAUCCAGUUCUUUUUGUUUUAUAUCGAACAUUACAUAUACCGAACUCAUAUAUUUAAAUUGGUCCUGUAACUUCCAGAGGUUAUACACAUCAUGGAUUUCUCUGUCGGCCAUCAAUUGAAUGUUCACUAGGAAAUUUUUGAAACUUUCCAAGUAAUCCAUGCCAAACUUUAUAAUGUAGUUAUACUCCAUAAGGAAGCAUUCAUCUUAUUCAUCUUCGGUCAUGCCCGCGUGCCAAGUUGUUGUAUUCAUUUUUAAAAGAUGUUGAAGAAGGUACGUUUAUAGAAUCAGAAAACCUGAAAAAAAUAAACAUUUUAGUUUAGUAAUUGAACCGGUAUUUUAAUUCCUCGUGUUCUCACUAUUCAUUACGGCAAUAUGUUGUAAUUUUCGAAACAGAAAACAUUUCAGUGAUUAUAUUCCUGAUGAAAUUACUGUUCUGGGGUUAGAUCUAAACCACGAGGUAAACCCAUGUAGUCUAACAUAAUAUUCAUAAUUUCCUCACUUUCAUAAUAGAGUGUAAAAAAUUUUUGCCGAAAUUCGAUUUUCGAUUUCUUUAAAUAUUCAUUACCCGGCAUUCUUGGUUCCACUUCUUCUUUUUUUAUGUCAUACAAUGCAUAUAUCGAACUCAUAUAUUUAAAUUUGUCCUGUAAUAUCGAGAGGUUAUACACAUCAUGGAUUUCUCUAUCGGCCAUCAAUUGCAUAUUCACUAGGAAAUUUUUGAAACUUUCCAAGUAAUCCAUGCCAGACUUUAUAAUGUAGUUAUACUCCAUAAGGAAGCAUUCAUCUUCGGUCAUGCCAGCGUGCCAAAUUGUUGCAUUCAUUUUUAAAAGAUGUUGAAGAAGGUACGUUUAUAGAAUCAGAAAACCUGAAAAAAAUAAACAUUUUAGUUUAGUAAUUGAACCGGUAUUUUAAUUCCUCGUGUUCUCACUAUUCAUUACGGCAAUAUGUUGUAAUUUUCGAAUCAGAAAACAUUUCAGUGAUUAUAUUCCUGAUGAAAUUACUGUUCUGGGGUUAGAUCUAAACCACGCGGUAAACCCAUGUAGUCAAACAUAAUAUUCAUAAUUUCCUCACUUUCAUAAUAGAGUGUAAAAAAUUUUUGCCGAAAUUCGAUUUUCGAUUUCUUCAUUACCCGGAAUUCUUGGUUCCACUUCUUCUUUUUUUAUGUCAUAGAAUGCAUAUAUCGAACUCAUAUAUUUAAAUUUGUCCUGUAAUAUCGAGAGGUUAUACACAUCAUGGAUUUCUCUAUCGGCAAUCAAUUGCAUAUUCACUAGGAAAUUUUUGAAACUGUCCAAGUAAUCCAUGCCAGACUUUAUAAUGUAGUUAUACUCCAUAAGGAAGCAUUCAUCUUCGGUCAUGCCAGCGUGCCAAAUUGUUGCAUUCAUUUUUAAAAGAUGUUGAAGAAGGUACGUUUAUAGAAUCAGAAAACCUGAAAAAAAUAAACAUUUUAGUUUAGUAAUUGAACCGGUAUUUUAAUUCCUCGUGUUCUCACUAUUCAUUACGGCAAUAUGUUGUAAUUUUCGAAUCAGAAAACAUUUCAGUGAUUAUAUUCCUGAUGAAAUUACUGUUCUGGGGUUAGAUCUAAACCACGCGGUAAACCAAUGUAGUCAAACAUAAUAUUCAUUAUUUCCUCACUUUCAUAAUAGAGUGUAAAAAAUUUUUGCCGAAAUUCGAUUUUCGAUUUCUUUAAAUAUUCAUUACCCGGCAUUCUUGGUUCCACUUCUUCUUUUUUUAUGUCAUACAAUGCAUAUAUCGAACUCAUAUAUUUAAAUUUGUCCUGUAAUAUCGAGAGGUUAUAUACAUCAUGGAUUUCUCUAUCGGCCAUCAAUUGCAUAUUCACUAGGAAAUUUUUGAAACUUUCCAAGUAAUCCAUGCCAAACUUUAUAAUGUAGUUAUACUCCAUAAGGAAGCAUUCAUCUUCGGUCAUGCCCGCGUGCCAAGUUGUUGCAUUCAUUUUUAAAAGAUGUUGAAGAAGGUACGUUUAUAGAAUCAGAAAACCUGAAAAAAAUAAACAUUUUAGUUUAGUAAUUGAACUGGAAUUUUAAUUCCUCGUGUUCUCACUAUUCAUUACGGCAAUAUGUUGUAAUUUUCGAAUCAGAAAACAUUUCAGUGAUUAUAUUCCUGAUGGAAUUACUGUUCUGGGGUUAGAUCUAAACCACGCGGUAAACCCAUGUAGUCAAACAUAAUAUUCAUAAUUUCCUCACUUUCAUAAUAGAGUGUAAAAAUUUUUGCCGAAAUUCGAUUUUCGAUUUCUUCAUUACCCGGAAUUCUUGGUUCCACUUCUUCUUUUUUUAUGUCAUACAAUGCAUAUAUCGAACUCAUAUAUUUAAAUUUGUCCUGUAAUAUCGAGAGGUUAUACACAUCAUGGAUUUCUCUAUCGGCAAUCAAUUGCAUAUUCACUAGGAAAUUUUUGAAACUUUCUAAGAAAUCCAUGCUAGACUUUUUAAUGUAGUUAUACUACAUAAGGAAGCAUUCAUCUUCGGUCAUGCCCGCGUGCCAAGUUGUUGCAUUCAUUUUUAUAAGAUGUUGAAGAAGGUACGUUUAUAGAAUCAGAAAACCUGAAAAAAAUAAACAUUUUAGUUUAGUAAUUGAACCGGUAUUUUAAUUCCUCAUGUUCUCACUAUUCAUUACGACAAUAUGAUGUAAUUUUCGAAUCAGAAAACAUUUCAGUGAUUAUAUUCACUAACUAUUCACUGAGUGAUCUUCAUUUUUGUUUGUUGAAUAAAAUUUAUAUCAGAUCUCAUGAAUUUUACAAACUAAUUCAAAUAUUACUAUAAAAUUCAAAAUGAAUAAUACAUAGAUACUCUGAUUUUUCAUUAAUUCAUUGAAUUGUAAUUUUGUUGGAGCUCAAAAUGAAUUUUUGCAAUUAGCGGAAAAAACUUCUCAAGUUCUAACUAUUGAGUAGUAUUUCAGCCCUCCAACGGGCACCCAUUAUAUCACUAUAUAAAAAUAAGUGGGGUUUUCCUUCCAGAACGCACGAACCGAUUUCCACGGUUUUGCAUUCGUUGGAAAGGUCUCGGGCUCCGUGAGGUUUAUAGCGAAGAGAAUUCAGGAAAAAUUUCAACAGAAAAGCGGGAAAAUCGUUUUUCACAUACAGCGCCAAUCGCUUAGUGUUUGCGGGAUAAAUUUAGAAAAUCAUUGUUUUUCACAUGGGCAGUUAUACGUUGGAAAGGUCUUGGGCUCCGUGAGGUUUAUAGCAAAGAAAAUUCAUCAAAAAUUUCAACAGAAAAGCAAGAAAACCAUUUUUCACAAACAGCGCCAAUCGCUUAGUGUUUGCGGGAUAAAUUUAGAAAAUCAUUGUUUUUCACAUGGGCAGUUAUACGUUGGAAAGGUCUCGGGCUCCGUGAGGUUUAUAGCAAAGAAAAUUCAUCAAAAAUUUCAACAGAAAAGCAAGAAAACCAUUUUUCACAAACAGCGCCAAUCGCUUAGUGUUUGCGGGAUAAAUUUAGAAAAUCAUUGUUUUUCACAUGGACAGUUAUACGUUGGGUGUUCACGAGUUGGGAAACCAUCCGCUUUGUUUGUGUUAACGUCAGACCAAAAAACAAAAAAUGUGGUUUACCAAAGAGCACUUCAAUGAAACGGAUAAUUUGCGGACACGUAUAACGCUUCGAUUCAGUAUUUACUUUGGAUUCACUUUCAUUUACUUAGAGAAGUUCAACUAAAUAACACUUCAUUUUUUUAAUCGAAAUGAAUUCAUUACUGUUGUGAAAUGAAAUAAAAUUUUUCCUUUUCAAAUAUAAAACAAACAAAAAUUUUCUUCAUCUUUUAAUUACCAAACGAAAUGUUACAUAAAACGAAGCCAUCUGGGGGCGAAACGGAGUUCGCCGGGUUUGCUAGUCAUUCAUAUAUUUUUGAUGAAGGUUCGAUAAUUUCAGGAAUGAUCAUGAAAUAUAUCUCUGUCAACAUUUACUAUUUGCCCUUUAGUCAAAUUCUUUUCGAUAACUACCAAUUGUGUUAUACACUAUUAUUGACAUUGAGUAGCUGAAUAAAAACUUGUUUUUUCUUUUAAUUCUGAAUUUAAUGAUAACUUGUACAUGUGAACCAAAUAGGUAAUCAAUUCAUCGGUCUUGCCGAAGCAGGCGUAAAAAUCACGGGCGUAGCCAGGGGGGGGUUUUGGGGGUUCAAACCCCCCCCCUCCCGCUUACGCUCGUCCUGGAAUUUUGUCUAUUCGUCCAAAAAAACCCUAUUUUCCGGACUUGUUACGUAAAUUACUAUUUUUUCUAUUUUUUUCUCUCACUAAGUGAGAAUUCAAAAAUAUAUUUUUCAUUUAAUGAAAUUAAAUGAUUAAUGGUGACUUACGUGGUAAUCUCAAAAUUGCAGGUUAUCAUUAAUUUUUUUCUUUUUCCUAUUUUCUUUAGAAAACCCAUGGGGGUUUUGGUGGGCGGCUAUGUUAGUGCAAUAUUUCAUUUUUUUGUUCAUUUUAUUAUUCAUAUGCACCACGGUUCUCGAGGGGCACUGUGCGCAUGUGAGGUGCGCGGUUAUAUGAAUCUCAUAUAUAGGUUUCCUUCUUUUUCGCUAAUUUUCAAGUGUUCAAGCUACAAAAUUACCUUUUCAUUUAACAAGACUAUUGGUGUUGGUGUUGAAGUUCCAGAUAAGAGGGGAUCCCCAAGCACAGGAGAAUUAUUAUCGAGGGUUUUCUUAUUCAAAUACACGUACUUUCUUCAACAUAAACAAAAAAGAACUGUCCAGUCAAAUCCAAAAAGGAUAAAACAGAAGCAAAUAAAUUGAAACAAAUGGUGACAAAGACGUUGAAUGAAGCAAUUGAAGAAGAUCUUCGUGCUAAAGUUGAAUCCAAUAUCAAACUCUCCAAAGCUCAAGGAGCCGGGGCGAAGUACCAUUCUACUAAAACUGAAUAAUGGUAUAACGAAAAUGUGAAUCCUUGUUUGGACUAGGUGAGACGAUAGAAACAUGGGUUUACCGCAUGGUUUAGAUCUUACCCCAGAAGAGUAAUUUCAUUAGAAAUUAUCUAACCAUCAUCAUAUAAAUUCCAAAAGUACACCUUUUAUGAAAGUUACCUAUUAUACCAAUGAAUGCAACAACUUGGCAUGAAGGCAAGACCGAAGAGGAAUGCGUCCUCAUGGAGUAUAAAUACAUUGAAAAAUCUAGUAUAGAUUUCUUAGAAACAUUAGAAAAUUUCCUAGUAAAUAUUAAAUUGAUAGACGAGAGAGAAAUCCAUGAUGUUUUUAUAAUCUGUUAGUUACAGUACCAAUUCAAUUCGAUGUGUUCGGUAUUCGUAAUGUUCGAUAUAAAACAAAAAGAACUGGAAGAAACAAUGCCGGGAAAUGAAUAUUUGCUGAAAUCGAAAGACGAAUUUUGGCAAGAAUAUCUUGUACUGUUCUGUGAAACUGAGGAAAGCAAAGUUGCCCGGUGAUAUUAAGAAGAACAAAAAAGAAGGAGCAGCAAUAACCAAAAAAAAAAGAACUGUACAGUCAAAUCCAAAAAGGAUAAAACAGAAGCAAAUAAAUUGAAACAAAUGGUGAGAAAGACGUUGAAUAAAGCAAUUGAAGAAGAUCUUCGUGCUAAAGUUGAAUCCAAUAUCAAACUCUCCAAAGCUCAAGGAGCCGUGGCGAAGUACCAUUCUACUAAAACUGAAUAAUGGUAUAACGAAAAUGUGAAUCCUUGUUUGGACUAGGUGAGAAGAUAGAAACAUGGGUUUACCGCAUGGUUUAGAUCUUACGCCAGAAGAGUAAUUUCAUCAGAAAUUGUCUAACCAUCAUCAUAUAAAUUCCAAAAUUACACCUUUUAUAGAAGUUACCUAUUAUACCAAUGAAUGCAACAACUUGGCAUGAAGGCAAGACCGAAGAUGAAUGCGUCCUUAUGGAGUAUAAAUACAUUGAAAAAUCUAGUAUAGAUUUCUAAGAAACAUUAUAAAAUUUCCUAGUAUCAUUUAUUUCAUAUAUAGUUCCGAUUUAAUUAUAUUUUCGUAUAUUU